AUUGAACGCUGGCGGCAGGCCUAACACAUGCAAGUCGAGCGGAUGAAGGGAGCUUGCUCCUGGAUUCAGCGGCGGACGGGUGAGUAAUGCCUAGGAAUCUGCCUGGUAGUGGGGGAUAACGUCCGGAAACGGGCGCUAAUACCGCAUACGUCCUGAGGGAGAAAGUGGGGGAUCUUCGGACCUCACGCUAUCAGAUGAGCCUAGGUCGGAUUAGCUAGUUGGUGGGGUAAAGGCCUACCAAGGCGACGAUCCGUAACUGGUCUGAGAGGAUGAUCAGUCACACUGGAACUGAGACACGGUCCAGACUCCUACGGGAGGCAGCAGUGGGGAAUAUUGGGCAAUGGGCGAAAGCCUGAUCCAGCCAUGCCGCGUGUGUGAAGAAGGUCUUCGGAUUGUAAAGCACUUUAAGUAGGGAGGAAGGGCAGUAAGUUAAUACCUUGCUGUUUUGACGUUACCUACAGAAUAAGCACCGGCUAACUUCGUG
rnacentral:rRNA from 1 species